rnacentral:rRNA from 1 species
UACGAAGGGGGGCUAGCGUUGCUCGGAAUUACUGGGCGUAAAGGGCGCGUAGGCGGAUAGUUUAGUCAGAGGUGAAAGCCCAGGGCUCAACCCUGGAAUUGCCUUCGAUACUGUUUGGCUUGAGUUUGGUAGAGGUUGGUGGAACUGCGAGUGUAGAGGUGAAAUUCGUAGAUAUUCGCAAGAACACCAGUGGCGAAGGCGGCCAACUGGACCAACACUGACGCUGAGGCGCGAAAGCGUGGGGAGCAAACAGG